CCUACGGGAGGCAGCAGUGGGGAAUAUUGGGCAAUGGGCGCAAGCCUGACCCAGCAACGCCGCGUGAAGGAAGAAGGCUUUCGGGUUGUAAACUUCUUUUCUGAGGGACGAAGAAAGUGACGGUACCUCAGGAAUAAGCCACGGCUAACUACUUGCCAGCAGCAGCGUUAAUACGUAGGGGGCAAGCGUUAUCCGGAUUUAUUGGGUGUAAAGGGCGUGUAGGCGGGAAAGCAAGUCAGCUGGGAAAACUCAGGGCUCAACCCUGAGCCUGCAUUUGAAACUGUUUAUCUUGAGUGCUGGAGAGGCAAGCGGAAUUCCGUGUGUAGCGGUGAAAUGCGUAGAUAUACGGAGGAACACCAGUGGCGAAGGCAGAUUGCUGGACAGUAACUGACGCUGAGGCGCGAAAGCGUGGGGAGCAAACAGGAUUAGAUACCCUUGUAGUC
rnacentral:rRNA from 1 species